rnacentral:lncRNA from 1 species
UUUUUUUUUAAGUAACCAAUUUUUAUUUCAUUGUCAACAAAAAUGUCAUGUCCGCACUAUUAAUUAAAGAAAAUGCCACCUGUUGCUCUAUACCGGUAGGCUACCGAUUGAACCAGUAACGAGAGCAUAAAUGAAUAUAUUUAGCAAAAUGGACCAGCAUGUUACUAUUUUUACUAUACUUCAUACCUUGGCAUUUUGCCACAACGGUAAUCUUCCAGAAUUUAUUUGCACCUCAGCAUUCGACAGAAACAAAUGGGCUCUAUCAUUUUGCUUUACCGAAUCAUUUUCAACCAGCUUUUGACUUCCCAUACAAACAUUAUAUACUGACGUUGCAGAUAUGCAUUCUUCCCUUUCGGGAAAAUCCAGUCUUCUAGAAACUUGCCACCAUUGGCAAGGCUCGAAUAUCACUCCUAACUCAUCAUCUUGGCCCGGUUGAUAUGAAAUGGGUUGAGUCCGUGACCCAACAUCAAUUUGUUGAAUCCCCACUGACGGAAGAAGUUCGUAUUGAACUACGUAUCCAGAAGGAGUAUAAACUAGCAGAUAUUCCAAAGAGUUAACCUUUUUAGACAUAUUCUGAUUACGAUAAGUUGUAGAGUUGUGAAAAACCGAAGCAACAGAACCAGAGGGUAUAUUUGUCUUUCCCAAAAAAGAAGCGGUGUUGCUAACGGAAUUAAGAAAUCCUGAAUUGUUAUUUUUUAUCCUACCCACUACUGAAAGGGUAAGGGGAUGAGGUGGCAGUAACGGCUGUUCGUCUAUGACAAAUGAUGGAGUUGACCACCAUGGCAGAGACUGAACCGGGUUGACCGCCCGACUGUGGGACCUUUGAAACCGAUAGCCCGUUUCACCACCAAAGGGUGAUAGAGCAAACACAUGACACGUACCCUUGGAGGAUACAAUAGAAAUCCACUGACAGUAGCAACUGAAGCUUAUGUCUUGGAUAACCUCUGAUGUUAUGCCACGGUGAAGCUUGUAAAGCAGCACAUGAGAAGAAUUCCAAUCAUGGAUUUGAUUGCUAGAAGUGUUGCGGGUACAAGGCAUAAUUCGAAAAAUAUUUACAUUAUUACCAUGUAUCGAGGCUGUUACCAGAAGGGUCCCGCUUGGAUCAA